rnacentral:rRNA from 1 species
GUGGGGAAUAUUGGACAAUGGGCGAAAGCCUGAUCCAGCCAUGCCGCGUGUGUGAAGAAGGUCUUCGGAUUGUAAAGCACUUUAAGUUGGGAGGAAGGGCAGUAAGUUAAUACCUUGCUGUUUUGACGUUACCGACAGAAUAAGCACCGGCUAACUUCGUGCCAGCAGCCGCGGUAAUACGAAGGGUGCAAGCGUUAAUCGGAAUUACUGGGCGUAAAGCGCGCGUCGGUGGUUUUGUAAGUUGGAGGUGAAAUCCCCGGGCUCAACCUGGGAACUGCCUCCAAAACUGCAUGACUAGAGUACGGUAGAGGGUAGUGGAAUUUCCUGUGUAGCGGUGAAAUGCGUAGAUAUAGGAAGGAACACCAGUGGCGAAGGCGACUACCUGGACUGAUACUGACACUGAGGUGCGAAAGCGUGGGGAGCAAACAGGAUUAGAUACCCCUGUAGUCC